UCAUAACAUUAUCCAACAUUCAAGAGCAUAUAAAAAUGAAUUACAAUAGAAGAAUGAACUACUAAUAUUUUCUAGCAUCAUUAUCUUUCAUUCCAACUCGAUUUUAGGAGUUUACAUGGUCCGAAAAUUACCUCGACUGAAAAAAGAAGAACAAAUACAGCAAAGUCAGCUCUUUCCAAAAUCAAGAAGCGGACAGUAAAAUAAUUAAACGGGCAGCAACACAGCAAAAGACAACGACAACCAGCACAUUUCAAACCCAAGCAAAUGAACCAAAAAUACCCAGCAGAACAGUUGAAACCAGCAAUUAUGUAACUCCAGAAGAAGCUUUCAAGACUACUAUCUUUUUCUAAGAAAAAAAUGUUUUGCACUUAAGAAUCAACUCAACUCACAAUAUUUAUCUACUAAAGAAUGCCUUAGCUGCUGAUUUUUCUCUCCCUUUUAUUUUGUGUGUCCAGAUCUCUACUGCUAUGAAGAUGUAUGUUUUAUAUAUGAGAAACAACCAGCUAUUUCAUGAUUAAAACUCAGUCUUUUUUGACAGAUUUUUCCACAAAAUCUGCAUUUAAAUUCAAAAGGCAAGACUUUUUUGUUCAAUCUUGUCCAAAAGAGAGUAUUUCAAUUAAAAUCUGCUCUUCACUAUUCAAAGACAGACUUUUGUUCAAAAACUGUCCAAAAGUCCAUAUUUUCUUACCAAACAAAUGACUUUUGAGUUUUGUACUCAAAAAAUCUCUGAAGCAGUAAAUAAGCAACCAAACAAGUACCCUAUAUUGUCAAGUAUUCCUUCACUAGCUCACUUUUAUCAAUACAAAACUAUUAUACUACUUCAACAAGUGCAAAAACAUAAAAUUUAGUAUUUCAAACUUCAAAAGCUAAUGCUAAAAUAAUUAAUAAGAGACAAAAUAAAAUCUGAAAAAAUAAAAAUAAAAUAAAAAAUCAGCCAUGAAAAAAAAGAAUAGUAUUUUUACCAUUUCACAAUUCAAGUGGCCAAAAUAAUGGUGGUAUGCUAAAUGGGAACAUUCGGGGAGGUCACCAGAAUUUGGCCGGAUUUUUGGUCGCCGAAUGUUUGGGGUGG
rnacentral:lncRNA from 1 species